rnacentral:rRNA from 1 species
UGAGUAACCUGCCCUUAACUCUGGGAUAAGCCUGGGAAACUGGGUCUAAUACCGGAUAUGACUCCUCAUCGCAUGGGUGGGGGGUGGAAAGCUUUUUGUGGUUUUGGAUGGACUCGCGGCCUAUCAGCUUGUUGGUGAGGUAAUGGCUUACCAAGGCGACGACGGGUAGCCGGCCUGAGAGGGCGACCGGCCAUACUGGGACUGAGACACGGCCCAGACUCCUACGGGAGGCAG